rnacentral:lncRNA from 1 species
GUUGUCUCUUCCACAUAUUACUCGCAGUCAGCGACAGAGGGCUUUCCCACGCCAGGCCUGCAGAUCCCAGUCGGAAGCUUUAUCUAUCCUGCCCCUUGGGGGACUGCGGCUGGCUUUCCCCCAUGAGACCUAUUCUGUAUUGAACAGGAAAGCACAAACAAUCACAAUGCCCAGCAAAGAUAAAGUGUUUUCCAUGCUCUCUGUUACGACAGUGAUCCCCAUAGAGACGUAAUCUUCAGUUUACGGAGACUUUUUUCUGAGUCCCAAAUUGCAGGAAUCUGUGGGGUUUUCCCCCUAACCUUGCCCUUCCACCCUUCGUGGAUCCUCCUGGAAUGGUCCACAGGCAUCUAUAUCUGCUGUCCCCCAACCCCACCAGCAAGGGGCGCGCGAGAUGAAACAGUUCUGUCCUGGGAUGUACCACCGAGGGGUAGCGGAAAGACCACCCACUCUGGAAGGUACCAUUGGGAGAGGGCGUGUGACAACAGCGGCACUCAUGGCGCCACUAGGUCCAUCCCCACUCGCUCCUCUUCGUCUUCCCACUGCUUUUGAAUCCGAGUGGACACAGUGGGCAAGUGGCGUCAACAUUGGGACCUAUAGAUCAAGAUUCCCCAAGCUGGAUGAACCUGUGGUUGACCAGCAGCCCAGUGUUGAGCAACCUCAACAAGAGGAACGGCCACCUGAGAUUCAGGAUAUCACACCUGAAAAGGAGGAAGUAAAUGGAGAGGAUCCGGUGAAUCAUAAUGAAGAGAAGGAGAAGGAUGCCUCUGGAGGUAAAGUCUGAAUCGAUGCAUUUUUUGGUAAAGAUUCUCACCUGGAAACUGAUCUCCAGGAAUUGGCUGAAGCAAAGACUGGGGGUAAAGGUGGAGAUGGUCCUGAUGUCAGGGAGGAAUUUGCAUCAAAUACAGAGCCUGUUGAAAUGCCAGAAGCAGGUAUGUCAUCCAUUCAGAAAGUAAUUUAUGUGGUUUCUGUUUUUUCAGAAUAUUAUAUCUUUACUAAUAUAGAGGGAACAUUACUAUUAUUUUAAUAACAGAGUUCACAUAUUCUUUGAAAGAUAGUUCAGACCCCAGAUGCCUGAGUGCCUGACUUACAGACUUUCAAAUAAAGAAACAGAGAGGAUCA